rnacentral:rRNA from 1 species
AUUGAACGCUGGCGGCAGGCCUAACACAUGCAAGUCGAGCGGAUGAAGGGAGCUUGCUCCUGGAUUCAGCGGCGGACGGGUGAGUAAUGCCUAGGAAUCUGCCUGGUAGUGGGGGAUAACGUCCGGAAACGGGCGCUAAUACCGCAUACGUCCUGAGGGAGAAAGUGGGGGAUCUUCGGACCUCACGCUAUCAGAUGAGCCUAGGUCGGAUUAGCUAGUUGGUGGGGUAAAGGCCUACCAAGGCGACGAUCCGUAACUGGUCUGAGAGGAUGAUCAGUCACACUGGAACUGAGACACGGUCCAGACUCCUACGGGAGGCAGCAGUGGGGAAUAUUGGACAAAGGGCGAAAGCCUGAUCCAGCCAUGCCGCGUGUGUGAAGAAGGUCUUCGGAUUGUAAAGCACUUUAAGUUGGGAGGAAGGGCAGUAAGUUCAUACCUUGCUGUUUUGACGUUACCAACAGAAUAAGCACCGGCUAACUUCGUG